rnacentral:rRNA from 1 species
CGGCACCUACGGGGCGCAGCAGUUAGGAAUAUUCGUCAAUGGGGGAAACCCUGAACGAGCAAUGCCGCGUGAAGGAAGAAGGUCCUAUGGAUUGUAAACUUCUGUUGUAAAGGAAGAACGACCUAAGUAGGAAAUGACUUAGGAGUGACGGUACUUUAUUAGAAAGCUCCGGCUAACUACGUGCCAGCAGCCGCAGUAAUACGUAGGGAGCGAGCGUUAUCUGGAAUUAUUGGGUGUA